rnacentral:ncRNA from 1 species
UCGAUGUCGGCUCUUUGCCACAUGGGGUUGUAGUAUGUUCCAAGGGUUGAGCUGUUCGCCCAUUAAAGCGAUACGUGAGCUGGGUUCAGAACGUCGUGAGAUAGCAC